rnacentral:tmRNA from 1 species
GGGGUCGACUUGGUUUUGACUGCGAGUAAAACUGAAUCGUAAGCACGUCGAGCGCCGGAACAUAGCUCGUUAAUCUCAUGUUUCACACUUUUUUAAACGGCGAGAAUAACUACGCCUUGGCUGCAUAAUCUGAAUCAUAGUAAGAUUUGCUUAGUCUCUACAAGGUAGAGAGCCAAGAUGUCUCUAGAAAGCCUUGAUUUAUGGCGUUCUACAAAGAGGCACCGGUAAAAUAAAUCUAGGUAGUUCGACACCUUUAAGGGCUACUUAAACCAUAAAGGUUAAGGAAAAUGUAGGAAGUUUUUUGCCAGCAUUUUCUCGAAAACCCAAAUAAAAACUAAACGUGUAGAAAGCUGUUGAGUUGCUUGUUAGGACGGGAGUUCGAGUCUCCCCGACUCCACUA